rnacentral:rRNA from 1 species
AACGCGAAGAACCUUACCUAGGCUAGAAUGUGAGGGAAUGUUGGGUAACGCCAACAGUCUGGGAAACCAGACCCAAAACAAGGUGCUGCAUGGCUGUCGUCAGCUCGUGUCGUGAGAUGUUGGGUUAAGUCCCGCAACGAGCGCAACCCUUAUCAACAGUUGCCAUCAUUAAGUUGGGAACUCUGUUGAGACUGCCGUUGAUAAAACGGAGGAAGGUGGGGAUGAUGUCAAGUCAUCAUGGCCUUUAUGCUUAGGGCUACACACGUGCUACAAUGGAUGGUACAAAACGUCGCAAUCUCGUAAGAGGGAGCUAAUCGCGAAAACCAUUCUCAGUUCGGAUUGGAGUCUGCAACUCGACUCCAUGAAGUUGGAAUCGCUAGUAAUCGCAAAUCAGCAUGUUGCGGUGAAUACGUUCCCGGGUCUUGUACACACCG